rnacentral:rRNA from 1 species
GAUGAACGCUAGCGGGAGGCUUAACACAUGCAAGUCGAGGGGCAUCACGAGGUAGCAAUACUUUGGUGGCGACCGGCGCACGGGUGAGUAACACGUAUGUAACCUACCCUGUACAGGGGGAUAACCCGGAGAAAUUCGGACUAAUAUCCCAUAAAGAUAAGAAUAGGCAUCUAUUCAUAUUUAAAGCUCAGGCGGUACGGGAUGGGCAUGCGCAACAUUAGCUAGUUGGUAGGGUAACGGCCUACCAAGGCUACGAUGUUUAGGGGACCUGAGAGGGUGAUCCCCCACACUGGUACUGAGACACGGACCAGACUCCUACGGGAGGCAG